rnacentral:rRNA from 2 species
GAAAGGCCAAUCAAACCGGGAGAUAGCUGGUUCUCCCCGAAAGCUAUUUAGGUAGCGCCUCGUGAAUUCAUCUCCGGGGGUAGAGCACUGUUUCGGCAAGGGGGUCAUCCCGACUUACCAACCCGAUGCAAACUGCGAAUACCGGAGAAUGUUAUCACGGGAGACACACGGCGGGUGCUAACGUCCGUCGUGAAGAGGGAAACAACCCAGACCGCCAGCUAAGGUCCCAAAGUCAUGGUUAAGUGGGAAACGAUGUGGGAAGGCCCAGACAGCCAGGAUGUUGGCUUAGAAGCAGCCAUCAUUUAAAGAAAGCGUAAUAGCUCACUGGUCGAGUCGGCCUGCGCGGAAGAUGUAACGGGGCUAAACCAUGCACCGAAGCUGCGGCAGCGACGCUUAUGCGUUGUUGGGUAGGGGAGCGUUCUGUAAGCCUGUGAAGGUGUACUGUGAGGUAUGCUGGAGGUAUCAGAAGUGCGAAUGCUGACAUAAGUAACGAUAAAGCGGGUGAAAAGCCCGCUCGCCGGAAGACCAAGGGUUCCUGUCCAACGUUAAUCGGGGCAGGGUGAGUCGACCCCUAAGGCGAGGCCGAAAGGCGUAGUCGAUGGGAAACAGGUUAAUAUUCCUGUACUUGGUGUUACUGCGAAGGGGGGACGGAGAAGGCUAUGUUGGCCGGGCGACGGUUGUCCCGGUUUAAGCGUGUAGGCUGGUUUUCCAGGCAAAUCCGGAAAAUCAAGGCUGAGGCGUGAUGACGAGGCACUACGGUGCUGAAGCAACAAAUGCCCUGCUUCCAGGAAAAGCCUCUAAGCAUCAGGUAACAUCAAAUCGUACCCCAAACCGACACAGGUGGUCAGGUAGAGAAUACCAAGGCGCUUGAGAGAACUCGGGUGAAGGAACUAGGCAAAAUGGUGCCGUAACUUCGGGAGAAGGCACGCUGAUAUGUAGGUGAAGUCCCUCGCGGAUGGAGCUGAAAUCAGUCGAAGAUACCAGCUGGCUGCAACUGUUUAUUAAAAACACAGCACUGUGCAAACACGAAAGUGGACGUAUACGGUGUGACGCCUGCCCGGUGCCGGAAGGUUAAUUGAUGGGGUCAGCGCAAGCGAAGCUCUUGAUCGAAGCCCCGGUAAACGGCGGCCGUAACUAUAACGGUCCUAAGGUAGCGAAAUUCCUUGUCGGGUAAGUUCCGACCUGCACGAAUGGCGUAAUGAUGGCCAGGCUGUCUCCACCCGAGACUCAGUGAAAUUGAACUCGCUGUGAAGAUGCAGUGUACCCGCGGCAAGACGGAAAGACCCCGUGAACCUUUACUAUAGCUUGACACUGAACAUUGAGCCUUGAUGUGUAGGAUAGGUGGGAGGCUUUGAAGUGUGGACGCCAGUCUGCAUGGAGCCGACCUUGAAAUACCACCCUUUAAUGUUUGAUGUUCUAACGUUGACCCGUGAUCCGGGUUGCGGACAGUGUCUGGUGGGUAGUUUGACUGGGGCGGUCUCCUCCUAAAGAGUAACGGAGGAGCACGAAGGUUGGCUAAUCCUGGUCGGACAUCAGGAGGUUAGUGCAAUGGCAUAAGCCAGCUUGACUGCGAGCGUGACGGCGCGAGCAGGUGCGAAAGCAGGUCAUAGUGAUCCGGUGGUUCUGAAUGGAAGGGCCAUCGCUCAACGGAUAAAAGGUACUCCGGGGAUAACAGGCUGAUACCGCCCAAGAGUUCAUAUCGACGGCGGUGUUUGGCACCUCGAUGUCGGCUCAUCACAUCCUGGGGCUGAAGUAGGUCCCAAGGGUAUGGCUGUUCGCCAUUUAAAGUGGUACGCGAGCUGGGUUUAGAACGUCGUGAGACAGUUCGGUCCCUAUCUGCCGUGGGCGCUGGAGAAUUGAGGGGGGCUGCUCCUAGUACGAGAGGACCGGAGUGGACGCAUCACUGGUGUUCGGGUUGUCAUGCCAAUGGCACUGCCCGGUAGCUAAAUGCGGAAGAGAUAAGUGCUGAAAGCAUCUAAGCACGAAACUUGCCCCGAGAUGAGUUCUCCCUGACUCCUUGAGAGUCCUGAAGGAACGUUGAAGACGACGACGUUGAUAGGCCGGGUGUGUAAGCGCAGCGAUGCGUUGAGCUAACCGGUACUAAUGAACCGUGAGGCUUAACCUU